UACAGAGGGUGCGAGCGUUAAUCGGAAUUACUGGGCGUAAAGCGUGCGUAGACGGCUAUCUAAGUCGGGUGUGAAAGCCCCGGGCUCAACCUGGGAAUUGCAUUCGAGACUGAAUAGCUAGGGUACGGUAGAGGGAAGUGGAAUUCCCGGUGUAGCGGUGGAAUGCGCAGAUAUCGGGAGGAACACCCGUGGCGAAGGCGGGUCCCUGGGACGGUACUGACGGCUGAGACGCGAAAGCGUGGGGAGCGAACAGGG
rnacentral:rRNA from 1 species